rnacentral:rRNA from 1 species
AGAGUUUGAUCCUGGCUCAGGAUGAACGCUGGCGGCAUGCCUAAUACAUGCAAGUCGAACGAAGUCUUUAGGAAGCUUGCUUCCAAAGAGACUUAGUGGCGAACGGGUGAGUAACACGUAGGUAACCUGCCCAUGUGUCCGGGAUAACUGCUGGAAACGGUAGCUAAAACCGGAUAGGUAUACAGAGCGCAUGCUCAGUAUAUUAAAGCGCCCAUCAAGGCGUGAACAUGGAUGGACCUGCGGCGCAUUAGCUAGUUGGUGAGGUAACGGCCCACCAAGGCGAUGAUGCGUAGCCGGCCUGAGAGGGUAAACGGCCACAUUGGGACUGAGACACGGCCCAAACUCCUACGGGAGGCAGCAGUAGGGAAUUUUCGUCAAUGGGGGAAACCCUGAACGAGCAAUGCCGCGUGAGUGAAGAAGGUCUUCGGAUCGUAAAGCUCUGUUGUAAGUGAAGAACGGCUCAUAGAGGAAAUGCUAUGGGAGUGACGGUAGCUUACCAGAAAGCCACGGCUAACUACGUGCCAGCAGCCGCGGUAAUACGUAGGUGGCAAGCGUUAUCCGGAUUUAUUGGGCGUAAAGCGAGCGCAGGCGGUCUUUUAAGUCUAAUGUGAAAGCCUUCGGCUCAACCGAAGAAGUGCAUUGGAAACUGGGAGACUUGAGUGCAGAAGAGGACAGUGGAACUCCAUGUGUAGCGGUGAAAUGCGUAGAUAUAUGGAAGAACACCAGUGGCGAAGGCGGCUGUCUGGUCUGUAACUGACGCUGAGGCUCGAAAGCAUGGGUAGCGAACAGGAUUAGAUACCCUGGUAGUCCAUGCCGUAAACGAUGAUUACUAAGUGUUGGAGGGUUUCCGCCCUUCAGUGCUGCAGCUAACGCAUUAAGUAAUCCGCCUGGGGAGUACGACCGCAAGGUUGAAACUCAAAAGAAUUGACGGGGGCCCGCACAAGCGGUGGAGCAUGUGGUUUAAUUCGAAGCUACGCGAAGAACCUUACCAGGUCUUGACAUCUUCUGCCAACCUAAGAGAUUAGGCGUUCCCUUCGGGGACAGAAUGACAGGUGGUGCAUGGUUGUCGUCAGCUCGUGUCGUGAGAUGUUGGGUUAAGUC